CCUACGGGGUGCAGCAGUGAGGAAUAUUGGUCAAUGGACGAGAGUCUGAACCAGCCAAGUAGCGUGAAGGAUGACUGCCCUAUGGGUUGUAAACUUCUUUUAUAUGGGAAUAAAAUGUUCCACGUGUGGGCUUUUGUAUGUACCAUAUGAAUAAGGAUCGGCUAACUCCGUGCCAGCAGCCGCGGUCAUACGGAGGAUCCGAGCGUUAUCCGGAUUUAUUGGGUUUAAAGGGAGCGUAGGUGGAUUGUUAAGUCAGUUGUGAAAGUUUGCGGCUCAACCGUAAAAUUGCAGUUGAAACUGGCAGUCUUGAGUACAGUAGAGGUGGGCGGAAUUCGUGGUGUAGCGGUGAAAUGCUUAGAUAUCACGAAGAACUCCGAUUGCGAAGGCAGCUCACUGGACUGCAACUGACACUGAGGCUCGAAAGUGUGGGUAUCAAACAGGAUUAGAUACCCUUGUAGUC
rnacentral:rRNA from 1 species